GUCCCCGUCGUGCAAUAGAUUGCGCGUUGGAAUUCUAAUCCAAAGAUCGUGGGUUCGAAUCCCACCUGGGAUG
rnacentral:tRNA from 1 species